rnacentral:lncRNA from 1 species
AGGAGACCCUCCCCCCCAGGUCUGCAAUAAUCACUCAUUACUAGGUCUUGCUCUGCAGCUGUUAUCCAGGGAUGGCUGUGGGCUGCAGCAGAAGCAUGAGCGUUGGGUGGCACUGAGAAAGGAUUACUGCAGCAGUUACAUUGAAUACAGUGCUGUGCUAUUAUUUUCUCUCCUCUUUUUUUGUUGUUGCUAUCACCGGAGAACUACGGCUCGUUUAGAAGUAUUCCUCUUGCUGGAUGCUUUGCCAUUGUUACAUGGUGUUCUACUGUUCCUAUUGCAUCAUUUGAACUUGGCCUUUACUUAUGAUGCUACAUUGUUUUCUGUAUACACUUUAUAAUUAGAACUACUAAUUGCAAGCUUGCCUGCUGCCUUCAGUUGCUUUUCCAGAGCAUUACUUGCAAAAAAGUCACAGUUACGCAGUCCUUUUCAAUUGUUCAGCAAGUAUUUUCAUAAAUAGAAGAGAAACCAGGGCUGUGUUUCUUAACUUAGCAGCUUCUAAGCUUUAGCUGCUGAGCAGCAAUACACGAACCAUGUAUAAAGAUGGAGUCGUUUCGGAAGCUGUAUAAGUCCUCCUCAUCCUCCUUUUUCUUCUGAAUAGUGAAAAAAGAGCAGAGUAGGUGUGCUGAGGUCAUUCCCACCAGCUGUUAGCUUUGAUUUUAAUUGGGCGGGAGGGGGUUGACAUGUAUAACUGCUGCCUAAGUGUCAUAUUCUCAUCUUAGUGAUACGUUUGGGAAACAGUACACAGAAAAUAUCCACGCAAGAAAGGCAUUCUGCAAGAAAGAGCUGCUCAUUUCCAUAUGCAUGCUGCAAACUUAAACACAAUGGUCCCAUUUUAUCAUUUGUUAUUUCAACUUUGCUGAUGAUUCAGUGGUGUUAUUCCGGUGAAAAUCUGGAGAAGAGCAGUGAAUCAGCUCCCUGGCUCUGCUUCGUGCUAUCUAAAAUGAGGAUCCACCUACAGUUGGUUCCUUUCCCAAAGUUGGCCUUAAAGGACAUCCCACAUAAAUCUACUCUCAGCCAGUGCCUGCAGAUGUAGCCCUCUCCCAUGCGCUUACCUCUCCUGCACCCCGUUAAUGGAUUGAUUACUGGACAGAGCCCCGCCGUGUGAUGGUGCUGGGCACGCUCAGCAAGAAGCAGCAAUUCUUGCUUUGAGCAUCAGCCAUCACAGGAGGACCUGAGGACCUGAGCAAUGAACCGAGUGUGCAGAUGUAUUUGCAGGGUGAUGGAUGAUUGAGGUGAGAUGUCUUUGACACACUGAUGGACUGGGAGGAGGGGCUUUGCUGGAUGCCUGAUGACUGCCCAUGGGAUACAGCUGGAAAAGGUCUUUUGUUUCCUCGACGUGGUAAGAGCAUCACCUUAGGAGUGUCCCUGCUGCUGCCCACAUCCAGCAGAGCCUUGGGCCCAGCGUGGCUCAGAGCUCCACUCCCAAGCUCACAGUGCAAGCAGUGUCACACAGGCUGCUGUCCUCAGUGUGACAUCAGCACCAAUGGCACUGCUGGCCCCCAUGGAUUUGCAGGAGCUUUUUCACCUUGCCAGAGGCCCCUGGGGUCUUCAACCCAGGUGUCAGCAGGUGAAGGCUGACACCACCUGCAGCUGGAAGGAGCUGAUGGUGUCAGGCUGCAGGGACAGCUGGGUGGCACCACUGCAAGAGCAGCAAGUUGCUGACCAUCCCAGCAGAGGGGGGAGGGGGACCAUGACCUGCUGAUUCCCACUGCAGGCACAGCCUUGGUGGCAAAGUUUGGCUGUAGCACAUGGGAGAUGAGCCUUAUGCGUAAUCACACCACACAGACUGCAGGAGAGAAGCAAAGGCUCCAUUCUGCUGUGACACCCAGCCCCUGCCUGCACGGAGCAGCUGUCGCUGCCAAGGAGACACCAGGUGAACUCAGGAGAAGUGAAACGUCAUGAGAAAAAAUGGGGAAUGAACCAGAGAGAAAGAAUCUUAGAAUAAUACCAACGUAAACACAGGCCUAGUUUUUAUCUUGUGCAGAGAGAUUGUUUUUUGAGAACAAAUGCAGAGUGAAAUGAAUUCAUAAACUUCUGUACCAGGUGCAAUCAUUAGUCAGUAAAUGAAUUACACAUAAUUAUCUGCUUUGUAUUUAAUUCACUUGGCUUCCAGUUUCUUACGCUUCAUACAGUGAAACUCUCUAUCUCUCUCACACAAACACACUCUCCAUGGGCAAGGAGGUUUUGGAGGGCUGCCAUCAUCCUGACUCAUGAAUCAGGCUCCAUGAUUUGAAUGAUAUUUAUCUAAGCCUGCAAACAAAGAAGAUGGCUAUGUGUCCAAUGAGAGAAUAAUUAUUGUUAUUAUGUUUAUAGAGCAACAAAGUCGGGAGUUAGGACCCCGGGGGAAAGGCGGCAGGAAGGGCGAGCUGGGCAGAGGCAGGAGGCUGUAGGCAGUGUUUCAGUGCAGGGAUGUGCCAGGGCCUUAGCAGGGCUCCCUGCCUCUGAGUCACCUUUGCCAGGCAUCGCUCAGUGGCCGUGGCGGGCAGCGAGGUGAUGCCUGCUUCCAAGGGAUGCUGCUGGGGCUGCAGGACCACCUCCCUGCAGGCUUUUCCAGGACACCGGGGCAGUGCAGGGCCUGCCAGGGCCUGGUCCCACCCAUGUUCACAGAUUGG